GUGUGCCACCAACGCCCGCUUCGGCAACACAUAUACUAAAAUUGGAACAGAGAGCAUUAGCAUGGCCCCUGCGCAAGAAGCCCCUUUACCCAGAGUCAUUUCUCUCAGCU
ensembl:snRNA U6 U6 spliceosomal RNA